rnacentral:rRNA from 1 species
UACAGAGGUCUCAAGCGUUGUUCGGAUUCAUUGGGCGUAAAGGGUGUGUAGGCGGAUUGUUAAGUCAGGGGUGAAAUCCUGGAGCUCAACUCCAGAACUGCCUUUGAUACUGGCGAUCUUGAGUCCGGGAGAGGUGAGUGGAACUGCGAGUGUAGAGGUGAAAUUCGUAGAUAUUCGCAAGAACACCAGUGGCGAAGGCGGCUCACUGGCCCGGUACUGACGCUGAGGUGCGAAAGCGUGGGGAGCAAACAGG